rnacentral:rRNA from 1 species
GACGAACGCUGGCGGCAUGCCUAACACAUGCAAGUCGAACGGAGAUUAUUUCGGUAAUCUUAGUGGCGAACGGGUGAGUAACGCGUGGGCAACCUGCCCUCUAGAUGGGGACAACAUCCCGAAAGGGGUGCUAAUACCGAAUGUGACAGCAAUCUCGCAUGAGGAUGCUGUGAAAGAUGGCCUCUAUUUAUAAGCUAUCGCUAGAGGAUGGGCCUGCGUCUGAUUAGCUAGUUGGUGGGGUAACGGCCUACCAAGGCGAUGAUCAGUAGCCGGUCUGAGAAGAUGAACGGCCACAUUGGGACUGAGACACGGCCCAGACUCCUACGGGAGGCAGCAGUGGGGAAUCUUCCGCAAUGGGCGAAAGCCUGACGGAGCAAUGCCGCGUGAGUGAUGAAGGAAUUCGUUCCGUAAAGCUCUUUUGUUUAUGACGAAUGUGCAGAUUGUGAACAAUGAUCUGUAAUGACGGUAGUAAACGAAUAAGCCACGGCUAACUACGUG